GUGCAUCUCAGUCCACGUUGGCCAGGCAGGCUUUCAGAUCGGGAACGCCUGCUGGGAAGUCUACUGCCUUGAACACGGGAUCCAGCCGGACGGCCAGAUGCCGAGUGACAAGGCCAUCGGAGGAGGAGACGACUCGUUCAACACUGUCUUUAGUGAGGCCGGGGCGGGAAAGCACGUCCCCAGAGCCGUCUUUGUGGACCUGGAGCCCACUUUUAUUGCUGAUCACCGGGAAGGAGGAUGCUGCUAACAACUACGCCCGGGGACACUACACCAUCAGAAAGGAGAUCAUUGACCUGUUCUGGACAGGACCCGGAAACUGGCGGACCAGUGCACCGGGCUUCAGGGCCUUCUGAUCUUCCACAGCUUUGGUGGAGGAACUGGCUCUGGUUUCACCUCCCUGCUGAUGGCAGUAAGGUAUAACCGCAGCGCUGU